UGGGGGUCAGAGAAAGAGGUCAGAGAGAGUGGGGUCAGAGACAGUGAGGUGUCAGAGGGAGAGAGGAAGGUCAGACAGAGAGGUGUCAGAGAAUGAGAGACUGUGUGUGUUGUGUUGGUGAGAGAGUCUGGGAGAGCGAGAUUCAGAGAGAGAGAGUUAGUGUUGUGUUUUGUGAGUGUGCGUGUGUGUGUGAGAGAGAGAGAGAGAGAGAGAGAGGCAGCCUUACCCUCACAGAUGCCCCGAUAGCAAAGUUUCACAGGGCCAACCGCAGGCAAACGGGCCCAGCUCGACCAGGACGCUGGCGGAGCGGAAACGCCUAGUUUCCUGCUCUCCGCCCCGCACCCCGGCUUCAGGAGGUUUUGAGGCCGCUCCCCCUCUGCCAGCGGACCGGUCAGCCUGGGCGUUUGGCCGCCUCUCCCCCCACCCUGGGCGGUGACAAGUAUAAGGCGUGGUUUCGGGCGAGAGUUUUGUUUCGCUCGCCCGGGUCGGUGAGUCAUCGGCUGAGGGGCAGAGUGGCCGGCGGACCGCCGCCACCCCGGGCUCAAAUCGACACGCCAGGAUCUUCCGCGCGGCGAGUGUGAGAACAGCCAAGAUGUCUGACAUCGACUUCCACCACAUCAUUGUGACUGAUGACACAGCAGCUGGAGUGAAUCCGUCGGAACUGCAUCCCAUCUUGGAGAAGCUGAGAUCAGCGCUUCAAAUCCGUGAGAAGUACAUGCACCGCUCCCUCCAGAGAUUCCCACAGACCACCUCGGAGGUGCUGAGGAAGAUCAAUGGGGAUGCCUGGAAUCCCGAAGAGAUUGUAUA